rnacentral:misc_RNA from 1 species
CAAAACCUCUCAAUGAUAAUUUUUAUUGUUGGUCAUGGGCCGCGGAGGAUUAGCCUUAACGGCUGCUCCCGCCUUAAACUUGCUGCACGACCGCAAGCUAUUGCUAGGUUAAUGAAGUGGUGUUUACAUUUUAAUUCAUAAACCGUUCAUGGCUUCUGUGGCGUUAAACCUGAUGGUCGUCUAACCGCGACCGAAG